rnacentral:rRNA from 1 species
AUUGAACGCUGGCGGCAGGCCUAACACAUGCAAGUCGAGCGGAUGAGAGGAGCUUGCUUCUCGAUUCAGCGGCGGACGGGUGAGUAAUGCCUAGGAAUCUGCCUGGUAGUGGGGGACAACGUUUCGAAAGGAACGCUAAUACCGCAUACGUCCUACGGGAGAAAGCAGGGGACCUUCGGGCCUUGCGCUAUCAGAUGAGCCUAGGUCGGAUUAGCUAGUUGGUGAGGUGAUGGAUCACCAAGGCGACGAUCCGUAACUGGUCUGAGAGGAUGAUCAGUCAAACUGUAACUGAGACACGGUCGAGACUCCUAGGGGAGACAUCAGUGGGGGAUAUGGUACAAUGGGGGAAGGCCUGAUCCAGCCAUGCCGCGUGUGUGAAGAAGGUCUUCGGAUUGUAAAGCACUUUAAGUUGGGAGGAAGGGUUGUAGAUUAAUCCUCUGCAAUUUUGACGUUACCGACAGAAUAAGCACCGGCUAACUCUGUGCCAGCCGCCGCAGUAACAC